GAUGAAGAACGCAGCGAAAUGCGAUAAGUAAUGUGAAUUGCAGAAUUCAGUGAAUCAUCGAGUCUUUGAACACACAUUGCGCCCCCUGGUAUUCCGGGGGGCAUGCCUGUCCGAGCGUCAUUGCUGCCCUCAAGCACGGCUUGUGUGUUGGGCCCCCGUCCCCGGUUUCCCCCGGGGACGGGCCCGAAAGGCAGCGGCGGCACCGCGUCCGGUCCUCGAGCGUAUGGGGCUUUGUCACCCGCUCUGUAGGCCCGGCCGGCGCCAGCCGACACCCAACUUUAUUUCUAAGGUUGACCUCGGAUCAGGUAGGGAUACCCGCUGAACUUAAGCAUAUCAAUAAGCGGAGGA
rnacentral:misc_RNA from 1 species